AUAAUAAAUAUGAACUACGGUAACCUUAAAAUGGAGACACCUAAGGUAUAAAUAGGUGUACUUUUAAAUGUUAAGACACAGAGGAGAGACUUGGAGACAGACGCUGCUCCAUCUUAAAAUGACAGAGAGGCUGACAUGAUGACAUGUUCAGAAGGGUAUGUUAACCUAUUAAUGAUAUUUGCAAGCAUGUAAUUUAAUCUUAUAAACUCUGCU